rnacentral:rRNA from 1 species
GGGGAAUAUUGCACAAUGGAGGAAACUCUGAUGCAGCGACGCCGCGUGAACGAUGAAGGUCUUCGGAUCGUAAAGUUCUGUCCUAGGGGACGAUAAUGACGGUACCCUAGGAGGAAGCCCCGGCUAACUACGUGCCAGCAGCCGCGGUAAUACGUAGGGGGCGAGCGUUGUCCGGAAUUAUUGGGCGUAAAGGGUUCGCAGGCGGUCUUUUAAGUCAGGUGUGAAAGGUCACGGCUCAACCGUGGUAAGCAUUUGAAACUGAAAGACUUGAGUUAAGGAGAGGAAAGUGGAAUUCCUAGUGUAGCGGUGAAAUGCGUAGAUAUUAGGAGGAAUACCAGUGGCGAAGGCGACUUUCUGGACUUAUACUGACGCUGAGGAACGAAAGCGUGGGGAGCAAACA